rnacentral:lncRNA from 1 species
AAAGAGAAAAAGUAUGAAAGAGGAUGUGACUUUGUGCAAAAAGAAAAAUGUUGAAAGAAAUAAAAGAAAAAGAAAGUGAAAGAAAAAGAAUAAAGUGAAAAAUAAGAGUCAAAAAAGUCAAAAGUCACAUCCAUGUUGCAAAGAAAUAAGGGAAAGAGUUUAAAAUGGAAGGAUGCCAAAAAUAGGUCAAGGAAGAGGUAAAAAGCCAAUGUAAUGUCA